rnacentral:tRNA from 1 species
GUUUUUAUAGUUGAACAUACAACGUUGGUGUUUCAGAUCUAAGGUUUUGGUUAAAUCCAAAUAAAAAUUA